rnacentral:rRNA from 1 species
UACGUAGGCAGCAAGCGUUGUUCGGAGUUACUGGGCGUAAAGCGUGCGCAGGUGGUCAUGUAGGUCGGGUGUGAAAGCCCCGGGCUCAACCUGGGAAUUGCAUUCGAGACUGCAUGGCUAGGGUGCGGAAGAGGGAAGCGGAAUUUCCGGUGUAGCGGUGAAAUGCGUAGAUAUCGGAAGGAACACCAGUGGCGAAAGCGGCUUCCUGGGCCAGCACCGACAUUCAGGCACGAAAGCGUGGGGAGCAAACAGG